rnacentral:rRNA from 1 species
UACGUAGGGUGCAAGCGUUGUCCGGAAUUAUUGGGCGUAAAGCGCGUGUAGGCGGUCCGGUAAGUCCGCUGUGAAAGUCGGGGGCUCAACCCUCGGAUGCCGGUGGAUACUGUCGGGCUUGAGUACGGAAGAGGCGAGUGGAAUUCCUGGUGUAGCGGUGAAAUGCGCAGAUAUCAGGAGGAACACCGAUGGCGAAGGCAGGUCUCUGGGCAUUAACUGACGCUGAGGAGCGAAAGCAUGGGGAGCGAACAGG